rnacentral:rRNA from 1 species
AGUGAACGCUGGCGGUAGGCCUAACACAUGCAAGUCGAACGGCAGCACAGUAAGAGCUUGCUCUUACGGGUGGCGAGUGGCGGACGGGUGAGGAAUACAUCGGAAUCUACUUUUUCGUGGGGGAUAACGUAGGGAAACUUACGCUAAUACCGCAUACGACCUACGGGUGAAAGCAGGGGAUCUUCGGACCUUGCGCGAUUGAAUGAGCCGAUGUCGGAUUAGCUAGUUGGCGGGGUAAAGGCCCACCAAGGCGACGAUCCGUAGCUGGUCUGAGAGGAUGAUCGGCCACACUGGAACUGAGACACGGUCCAGACUCCUACGGGAGGCAGCAGUAGGGAAUAUUGGGCAAUGGGCGCAAGCCUGAUCCAGCCAUGCCGCGUGGGUGAAGAAGGCCUUCGGGUUGUAAAGCCCUUUUGUUGGGAAAGAAAAGCAGCAGGUUAAUACCCCGCUGUUCUGACGGUACCCAAAGAAUAAGCACCGGCUAACUUCGUG